GCAAAAGAGCCACGAAGUGGUCCAUUCUCUUUCCGUCUCUGACCCAAGGAUCAAGUCUUGAUCUUGUUGCCCAGGCUGGAGUGCAUUGGCUCCCUGCAACCUCCGUCUCCCAGAUGCAAGCGUUUCUCCUGCCUCAGCCUCCCAAAUAGCUGGGAUUGCAGAAACAGGUUUCACCGUGUUGGCCAAGCUGGUCUCAAACUCCUGACUUCAUGAUGUGCCUGCCUUGGCCUCCCAAAGUGCUGGGAUUGCAGGUGUGAGGCACCUUGCCCAGCCAAAAAAGGUAAUUUUAA
rnacentral:lncRNA from 13 species